GGGCAGGGAGAAAGUCAGGUCUCCCCUUCCCCUCCUCUUCCCCACCUCCCUCCUUGUCUUCCCUGACAGCACCCGGGACCACAAGGUCCAGCUGCAGCUUCAGCUGGUGUAAGAUGGGGCUCAAGGGAGCCUGGGGGAAGGAGGCCUCACACUGGGGUUGAGCGACUGUUGGGGGUAGUCAGUGUUAUUAGGGCUAACUGAUUUCGUCCCUUUUUAUUUUUUAUUUACUUUUGUUUUUGAGAUGGAGUCUCGUUUGUUUGUUUUUUGAGACGAAGUCUCACUCUUGUCCCCCAGGCUGGAGUGCAAUGGCGCGAUCUCGGCUCACUGCAACCUCCACGUCCCAGGUUCAAGCAAUUCUCCUGCCUCAGCCUCCUGAGUAGCUGGGAUUACAGGCACCUGCCACCACGCCCGGCUAAUUUUGUAUUUUUAGUAGAGAUGGGGUUUCACCAUGUUGGCCAGGCUGGUCUCAAACUCCAGACGUCAGGUGAUCCUCCCACCUUGGCCUCCCAAAGUGCUGGGAUUACAGGCAUGAGCCACUGCACCAGCCGCAGUCUCCUUCUUGUCGACCAGGCUGGAAUGCAGUGGCUAGAUCACGGCUUAUUGCAACCUCUGCCUCCUGGGUUCAAGCGAUUCUCCUGUCUCAGCCUCCCAAGUAGCUGGGAUUACAGGUGCACGCUGCCACCACCACGCCCGACUAAUUUUUGUGUUUUUAGUAGAGACAGAGUUUCACCAUAUUGGCCAGGCUGGUCUCGAACUUCUGACCUCAGGUGAUCUGCCCUCCUCGGCCUCCCAAAGUGUUGGGAUUACAGGCGUGAGCCACUUUGCCUGGCCAACCCUUUUGAUUUAUUUAUUUAUUUUAUUUUUUUGAGACAGAGUCUCACUCUGUCACCCAGACUGGAGUGCAAUGGCACAGUCUCAGCUCACUGCAACCUCCACCUCCCAGGUUCAAGUGAUUCUCCCGUCUCAGCCUCCCGAGUAGCUGGGACUACAGGCAUGUGCCAUCACACCCGGCUAAUUUUUGUAUUUUUAGUAGAGGCGGGGUUUCACUAUGUUGGCCAGGCUGGUCUGGAACUUCUGACCUCGUAAUCUGCCCACCUUGGCCUCCCAAAGUGCUGGGAUUACAGGCGUGAGCCACUGUGCCCGGCCUUUUUUAUUUUUAAAAAAACUAUGUAGAGAUGAAGUCUCACUAUGUUGCCCAGGCUGGUUUGGAACUCUUGGGCUCCAGAGAUCCUCCUGCCUUGGCCUCCCAAAGUGCCGCAAUUACAGGCGUGAGCCACUGUGCCCGGCUUCAUUCAAUUUUAUACCAGAGCCAAGGCACCAGCACUGCAGGCCACUCAGCUGUAAGUGGCCAGGCCCUGCUGUGCGUGGUGACCCCCACUUCAUGGCUCUUCCCCGUCACUCAUCCCCGAGCUGGUCAUCAGAGGCCUCAUCCUGUGUUGGGGCCUCGCUGGCCAGGUAUCCCCUGAGUCCAGCGCUUGGGCCCCAUAUAUAUUGAUCCCCCUGCUGGGACAGGCCUGCGGUGACCCCUGCCUCCUAGCCUGGCAUUCAGAACCCUGUGUGACCUGGUCCCUAUACCCCAACUCUAGCCUCCUGGGGCCAUCCUGACCCAGGGACCCCAUCAAGCCCCUGCCCCUCUCAGAGCCCCCUGCCAGCACUGUCCCCCAUCUCCCAGCCAUCCACCCAGCUGAGUCCAGCGCUCCAUGGCCCUCUCUGUGCUUUCAACAGAAGCUCCUCGGAGGCAGGGCCUACUCCUUCAGCACAGAACCCCUCCCCUGGAGCAGGUGCUCCCUAUGAGGGACACAGAGGCCAUGGUUCCAUUCCUGCCCCUCUGCCCAGGAGGCACUCAGUGCCCCUUCAAGACUCCAGGCCUCUCCAGCCCAGUCUGUCUCCUCCAACUGGUCACUCCAUCUGUCCACGCUCUUCGGGUCUGUCCCUGCUCGCCAGCCAAACCACAGGUGAAGGAAGAAUGAACUCAGGGCUGGCCCCAGCUUUUCCACGGGUGACCAAGUGGGUGGGUGCCUGCCCGUUCCAGUAUGACCAGAGUCUACCCCACCCUCCUUUCUGUCUUCUCCUUCCAUGAAAAAGAUGCUGCUGUCUCCAGGGCGGUGAGCACCAGGCCGCCAAGCCCUGAACCCAUACCCCACCCCAUCUCUGCGUGGCCAGGCAGACAGAACCACACUGUAGGCCUCUGAAGUCCUUCUGGAUCCAGACUGGAGAGGUCAUCUUCCCAUGCCCUCUAAUCCUGGCCUGCACCAUUGGCUCAGAGUCCCACGCCCACUGGUGACCUCACAGGGCUGCAGUGACCCUGGAUACGGGAGCUCCCAGGGUUGUCCGGCUGCUGGGCUCCAUACCCCUCUACACAGUUGGGAGUGUGGUGGCUCUGCCAGCAUGCUCCACUUCACCCAGUCUCCCUGGAGAACUGGAAUGAAAUCCUGUCCGUUGUAGCCUCUAGCUUUAGCUCAGAUUUUCUGGAGUAACUAUAUCCCUAUUCGAUUGUGUUUGACUUCCAGUCUGCCUGUGUCCCCACUGCCUGAUGGAACAGACACUGGGGACACAGGCAGGCUGGAUGUGCAGGUAAAAACCACCUUAGUGGCCGGGCACAGUGGCUCACACCUGUAAUCCCAGCACUUUGGGAGGUCGAGGCAGGUGGAUCACUUGAGGCCAGGAGUUUGAGACAAGCCUGGCCAACACGGUGAAACCCCGUCUCUACUAAAAAUACAAAAAUUAACUGGGUGUGGCGGGCACCUGUAAUCCCAGCUACUUGGGAGUCUGAGGCAGGAGAAUCGCUUGAACCUGGGAGCCAGAGGUUGCAGUGAGCCAAGAUCACGCCACUGAACUCCAGCCUGGGUGACAAGAGCGAAACUCGGUCUCAAAAAAAACAAAAACAAAACAAAAAAAAUCACCCUAGCUAGGGUUGAGCACACGCCCCCUUUAUUAUAAACUGCCCCAAACCCUCUUAAGAAGGAGGUGGCUAGUCCCCUGAGAGU
rnacentral:lncRNA from 1 species